CCUACGGGUGGCAGCAGUGGGGAAUAUUGCACAAUGGAGGAAACUCUGAUGCAGCGACGCCGCGUGAGUGAGGAAGUAUUUCGGUAUGGAAAGCUCUAUCAGCAGGGAAGAAAAUGACGGUACCUGACUAAGAAGCCACGGCUAACUACGUGCCAGCAGCCGCGGUAAUACGUAGGGGGCCAGCGUUAUCCGGAUUUACUGGGUGUAAAGGGAGCGUAGACGGUUAAUCAAGUCAGAAGUGAAAGUCUAGGGCUCAACCUUGGGACUGCUUUUGAAACUGAGUAGCUUGAGUGCAGGAGAGGUAAGCGGAAUUCCUAGUGUAGCGGUGAAAUGCGUAGAUAUUAGGAGGAACACCAGUGGCGAAGGCGGCUUACUGGACUGUAACUGACGUUGAGGCUCGAAAGCGUGGGGAGCAAACAGGAUUAGAUACCCGAGUAGUC
rnacentral:rRNA from 1 species